GCACUUUCAGUCGUGAGGAAGGUAGUGUAGUUAAUAGCUGCAUUAUUUGACGUUAGCGACAGAAGAAGCACCGGCUAACUCCGUGCCAGCAGCCGCGGUAAUACGGAGGGUGCGAGCGUUAAUACGGAAUUACUGGGACGUAAAGCGCAUGCAGGUGGUUUGUUAAGUCAGAUGUGAAAGGACCCGGGGCGUCAACCUACGGAAUAGCAUUUAGUAAACUGGCAGACUAGAGUACUGUAGAGGGGGGUAGGAAUUUCAGGUGUAGCGGUGAAAUGCGUAGAGAUCUGAAGGAAUACCGGUGGCGAAGGCGGCCCCCUGGACAGAUACUGACACUCAGAUGCGAAAGCGUGGGGAGCAAACAGGAUUAGAUACCCUGGUAG
rnacentral:rRNA from 1 species